UUGAAGGUCGAUCAUCUUCUUUAUGAGACGCCUUCCAUAUCAGCUUAAUAGAAGCAACUUCACUAAUAAAUGACAAUGGUCAGCUUAUUUACAACAUUUCUACUGGAUUUUUUUUCCUCAAGAUUCUCUUCAGAGGAAUAGGAGGAGAGGUUAUAUUCUCUGCAUGAGGACAAGUCUACAGUGUCAAAAUCAAGUAAUAUUUGUCUUCUGACAGCAGAACGUUGUAUCAUAUUUCUAAGGAUGCUUCUGCACAUCCUUGAGGGACAAAAAUGUGACUUCCUGACUUCUCCAAGGGAGGAAAGAGGGAAAUAAUGGCCAAUGAGGUAAUGGGAAUUCUCACCUUUACUAGUUCCAGAAGCAUGACAGAGGCUUUAUGAAAACCGAGAAAGCCACUGUCCACGCAGAAUGGAAAUAACGUUGUAAUCCCACUUGGAUCAGUCUUAGUGAGGACCACUAAUUGCAAAACAACUUUCCCCACCAUGGUUGAGGGAGGGCCCAUGGGAAGAGGGCAUCUGACUUAAACAGGAAGAGGAGGGUCCUCCCUCAGGAUAUUAUGCCUGCAUCGCCAUGCCUUCCCACGUGGUAAAGCCGUGAGAGAGGGGUUGAUAGUGGUCCACACCAUGUCUUCCAUAGUGCGCAAGAAAGUCUGCAGUAAGAGCCAAUAAAGUGACACCACAGGGAGAGGAAAGAAAAGGGCCAGUGAAGGGGGAAACCUGCUAGUUUCGUGGGAGGUUCCAGCUGUCUCUAAGACCCUGACUCUCCUGAGGGUAGCUAAAUUUUGGAUUAUUAUAAAUUGCAUUUUAAAGAGCAGAUGAAGAGCCCUGGGGAAUAAGGAUGGGUGCAGUGUUCUCCCUCUUUCUUUUAAGAUUCUUGCAUUCCAGGGUGCAAAGUUGAGUCAGAGUCAGGUUUGCUCAGGGGCCAGAACUUGAAUCUCUAUGGCCGGCAGAGAUGUAAGUGGAAUGGAACAGUUCUGGGGAUUAAUCUUUUUGCAGAUUGGAUGGGCCCACAGAACUGGAAGUGAGACCUGAGGUGUACUUGCUGUAAAGUUGAACAUGUCUUUUCUUGAAAAGUAAGGGUAAAAAUGGGGGGAAGUCAUGAAAGGAGGAAGUAUUUUGAGAAAAUUUUAAAUGCCCCCUAUUAUUUUGUAGUUGUGGGACUUGGGUUUAAUUUGAAUCUGUAAACUCUCAGAGGGCAUCUGUAGGCAUUUAGAAAAGGGUGGUUAAUUUGCAGCAGAUACUAGCUUUUGUGCAAAGGCAGAAAGAUGUACUGUAACAUAUGAUGCAGAUCACUUUAGAGUAAUUGAACCAUGGCUUUUGCAUGCUUUCGAUCCGAAGCUUAUCUCCAUCUGAAGCCUGUAGAAAGUCUUUUCCCAUUUACAUAACAGGGCAAGAGAUUAUUACAACUAAAAUUAGAUCCAUGAAUUGCUAUGCACAGUGCUUUGUAGCAUAAUCAAAUUAUGAUAAAAUAGCCUUUAUUUCUCUAUUGCUAUAUAAUAUAGUUAGGUUCUUUAGUAAUUUGUUUGGAAGUAAAGGAGUGGCUGUGCGAUCUUAUUACACUAAAGUAUCGCUGAUUUUUGGCCAAAUUGACAACCUUGCUUGAUUGUUUUUUAGAGAUGUUUAUUUGAAGAAUGGGAAGGAUCCUGAUAAGGUCUAAUUUGUUUUCCUUUCUUUACCCCUGCCCUUGCCUUUAAAAAAAAAUAUGGGCCACAGCUCAUGAGUUCUUCCUGCUUACCCUUAUCACUUAACCUGAUAAUACCAUCCCGAGAAAGUGGUUCCUGUUCAUUUGAUAUUACCAGAUAAAGUCAAAAGCCUUAUGCCUUCCCAGCACUGAAGAUUCCUUAGCUGUUUUCUCUCAGAUUCUGAACAGGGCAAAUCACAAGAACCUUGUUGGUUAAAUUAUUAUUGUUUAGAUGUAAAUAUGGGAGGGGAGGGAAAACAACCAAAUUGUUGAGAAAAUAAAUGAGGAAGUAGGGGAGAGGGGAAGGUGGAAAUUAAGACUGAGUAACAGCAAAAAAUGAUCAGAAAGAAGAGAAGAGGAAAUAGAUCACAAGGAUAUGGGUAUGAGGGAAAAGGAGGAUAGAGAGACAGCAAAACAUAAUCCAAUGGAAGCCUGUAACAUGGUGUACGAGCAGAUUUCCAUACCAUUUUGAGGCUCUGAAAGUUUCCUGAUGACUCUAUUCAGCAGAACCCCCACUCCCGCCCCAUUCUAUAUUACUGUUAAUGCUAAAGGUAGCAGUAGCUGCAGAGGUGGCAUUUUCCUCUAAUUUAAUUUUCAGUUACUGAACUCAGUUACUGACUCUUUACAGCCUGAGGGAAGACGAGCCUUUGUUAAAGCAGUGGCCGUUCACUUUCACUUUUCUUUUCAACCUCAUUAGAUUUCCUGAGGUUUAGUUCUAGACCUAAAGCACUGCACUGUGGCAAAACUAUGUAAAAUAACGUUUUUGGUGAAAAGGAACACCUGCAAAAAUGUCACACAAAUUUCAAGUUCAGUGGUAUCUAGUGAUGUCACCGAGUGAAAUCCUUGUGCAGAAAAUGCAAGUAAUAGGGUAUUAAAUUUGUUAUAGCCUGUGACUUCCUUCAUGGCAUCGUGUGGUGCAAUGAUGAGCCAGAAAGGCUUCUUGUCUGGUGGCACCUUUGUAUGUGUGCUCAGUGGGUAGCACAGCCACAUGGGCAUUAGCCCCAUUGAGGUAGGAUUUGAAAGGGAGUUGCUAAUCUCAGUCCACAUUGGGUGUCAGAAUUCUGAUUUAACCCAUGUAGGAUGAGCCAUUCCCCGUGUACAGGGAGAGUCAUUACAAAAAUGGCACUUUUGAUUCCUUGAAAAUGACUAAAUCCUAGAAUGAGAAUGUAUGAUUGAUUGUGAACAAUAAUGUAAAUUAUCUAUAAAGGUUAUAUAAUGAUUCUGUGA